CCCCCUGCCGCGCGCCUCCUCUCCCCCUCUCUCUCGUUCCCCUCCCUCCUGCGCGCCUCCUCUCCUCCUGCCUCGUCGCCGCCUCCUCUCCCCUCCUGCGCCCGCCUCCCUGCCCUGCCGCCGGCGUCGCCACCGCCGCUCGCCCGGACACCCAUCCCCGGCCUCACGCCGCCCAUCUAGAGAGAUGGGGGCCGCGCGCGACGAGGCCGGCCUAGCCGUCGCCUCCUUCUCCCGCGACCGCGCCGCCCUCUCCUCCUUCCUCACGCAGCCGCCCUCUCCUUCUUCCUCCCGCCUCCCUGCCAUGCCGCCCCGCCGCCUCCUCCCUCGCUCGCUUCCUCUCCUCCCGCAAUCGCCUCCCUCCCUCCCUCGCUCUCGUGCAGCCGCCGCGGCGCUCCCACAUCUCCUCCCCUUCCUCUCCCAUAGCCAUGUUCGCAGAGGCGCUGUAGAUCCCCGCCGAGCAGGCCGCGCUGGCGCUUGGGGCGCUCGCCGCCGUGCUCCCCGGCGACGAUGACGCCCCCGCAGCGGACGGUGCAUCGGAGGCCGACCUCCACGGACGGCACGUGGGUGCCGCGGUGCUCGCGGAGGCGCUGCAGAUCCCCGCCGAGCAGGCCGCGCUGGUGCUCGGGGUGCUCGCCGCCGUGCUCCCCGGCGACGAUGACGAACCCGCAAUGGAAGGAGCUGGCGCCUCCCCGCCCCCAUCUAUCCACUCCGUCCAGCUCCUCCUGUACCCGCAGCAGAUAGAGAGAGGGAUGAUGUGAAGGAGAAGAGAGGAAGGAGAAGCCAUGCCCCGUCCACUGCGUCGUGCGCGACGACUGGCUGGGCUCUGUUUCAGCACCCCAAUCUUCCUACCUCUAUCCCCUUCUUUUUUCUCCAUCCCUUUCUUUCAGAUUUUUUUGUGUACAUGCAUACAAGGCGCUCGAUGAAAAUCCAAGCAGGUCAUGUGACUUGCCUACGGAAGAUAUGAGUGUCCUCGGAAAAUAUUAUUAUGCUGGAUCUACUAUGGUUGCCACAUUAUGCAAGUCAGCAUUUAGUGAUCUAAAAGUUUAGACCAUGGCAUUAUGUUCAAUGCUCAGCAAAUCCACCCUUCGUAGGUGUGAAGAUCCAUUGAUAAAGUUUAUUUGAGGAAACUGUACCGUUCCAUGGACCCAUCAUUUCGGCGAGCCGGUCCUAUUAUUGCACUGAAGAGGCCAUCUCUUAGCAUUGAACCACAAGUUCAUGUUCGCAAGCUGAAACCAAGAUAUAUGUGUCUGAUAUUUGCCUCAAAUGGUCUUUGGGAGCAUCUUAGCGAUCAGUACAGGAAGUUGUAGUAGCUGCCCCAUCCUUUUUAAUCUAAAUGAUGGUACUUCUAGGACACGGACAAUUGCCCUCAAGGCGAAUAUGACAUUUCCCGUGCGAGAUCAAAUGACUUGAGCAUUACAUUGGUUCAACUGUCCCUCUCAUCAAGUAUUAUGUUUGCGAGAUGAACAAGACUUUCAUGACUCCUGGACAGAGGAGAAUGCCAAGCUGGAUCGGUGGCGCGGCGGAGGAGCUGUCUUCUGAGUUGACCAGAGAGGGAGCACACCGGAGAUGCUUCUGAGAUGGCCAAGGGUUUACUGAUCGAUCCAUCCUGAUUGGGAUCUGUUCGUGGUUCUGGUUGACUGGCUGGUGCGUCGUGCCGUUGCUGGUGCUUGAGGUUGUCUCGCUGGUUUCCUUGCAGUAUCGUCGAUCUGUGCAUCCAGGCACCCCAAGCUUUUCCUCGCGCGAUGGCAUCAGGCGCACGGAGGGAGCUCUUCUCGGUCGAUGUGGUGAACAACGACCGUGAUCCCGUUCCACGUCGUCACCUGCUAGCAAGGCCAAGACAAGCAUCGUAAGGGUCCAGUUAGAAUGAUGACUGAUAUCCUGUUAGAGCAUCUUGGGCUUCACAAGGCCAUCUGAGACUCGGGCUCAAUGAGAACACGAUGAGGUACAUAGAGAACUCCAGAAACACUAUAGUGAAGGAUCUAAACUAUGACAGGCUGAGCAGAAUGCAGAAAGACUUUUGCUUAUCCGAGACUCGGGAUCGAUGAGGCAUUUGACAUGAUAAACAAGUGCCAAAGGUUACUUGUAUGAUCUGAGAUACAUGAGCUCCUUCUCAGACCAACUUCAUAAUGUGAUAGCACAUGGCUUUCCUCCUACCCGUGUCGUGGAUACAUUGACAAACGUGACCCUUAUGAAUAUUGAAGUGGUGGCACAUAACCUUGAGAGCAGAAGCAAUCAUCUGUUGAAGAGGCUGCAUGCCAUAAAAAGACACUCUUUAGGCGCAACAGCAUGAGGUGUUUGCACCAAUUGAUUUCUUCACACCAAGGCCAUGGCGUUGAUCAUCUAUGGACAUCACAGAUCACCUAUUCUAACUCUGGCAAGUACGAGAUGAUAUAUGAUGCCACCAGCUCCUGUGAUGUACCGUGUAAACUACUGUGUGAUCUCCCUCUCCUUUUGUGAACACGUCCCCUUUGGCACGUCUAUUCAUACUUUUGCACUCAAUAUUUAUGUGUAUGAACAUUGCAUCCUUUAAUUUACCUUGUAUAUGAACAUUACAUCCUUCAAAUAUGGUGUACUAUAUUUUGGUAUCCAUGGAUGAUGUCUUG
rnacentral:rRNA from 1 species